GAGGAAGUAAAAGUCGUAACAAGGUUUCCGUAGGUGAACCUGCGGAAGGUCAUUAAUGAAUUUUGAAAGGGGUUGUAGCUGGUCUUUUCCRAGACAUGGCACGCCCUGCUCAUCCAUUCUACCCCUGUGCACACUUCUGUAGGUCGGUUUGAAGCUGAUUCCUCACGGAAUUGCUCGGGCCUUCCUAUGUUUUCAUCAAACACUUUAAAGUCAAAGAAUGUAAUCGCGUGUAACGCAUUUAAUACACUUUCAGCAACGGAUCUCUUGGCUCUCGCAUCGAUGAAGAACGCAGCGAAUGCGAUAAGUAAUGUGAAUUGCAGAAUUCAGUGAAUCAUCGAAUCUUGAACGCACCUUGCGCUCCUUGGUAUUCCGAGGAGCAUGCCUGUUUGAGUUCAUGGAAUUCUCAACCCUCUUAUCUUUGUUAUGAGAUGGGCUUGGACUGGAGGUUAUUGCCGGCUUGUCAUGAGUCUGGCUCCUCUUGAAUUCAUUACUUGAACCCUUGUGGAUCGGCUACUCGGUGUGAUAAUUGUCUACGCCGUUGCUGUGAAGCUUUCAAACACUUUGUUGUGUUGAGGGAUUUGCUUCUAACGUCCUUCAAUGGACAAUUUUUGACCUCUGACCUSAAAUCAGGUAGGAUACCCGCUGAACUUAAGCAUAUCA
rnacentral:rRNA from 1 species